UGGGGAAUAUUGCACAAUGGGGGGAACCCUGAUGCAGCAACGCCGCGUGAAGGAAGAAGUAUUUCGGUAUGUAAACUUCUAUCAGCAGGGAAGAAGGAAAGGUGACGGUACCUGAAUAAGAAGCACCGGCUAAAUACGUGCCAGCAGCCGCGGUAAUACGUAUGGUGCAAGCGUUAUCCGGAAUUACUGGGUGUAAAGGGUGAGUAGGUGGUUAUGUAAGUCAUAUGUGAAAGACUGAGGCUUAACCACAGGGGUGCAUAAGAAACUAUGUAACUAGAGUGCAGGAGAGGUAAGCGGAAUUCCUAGUGUAGCGGUGGAAUGCGUAGAUAUUAGGAAGAACACCGGUGGCGAAGGCGGCUUACUGGACUGUAACUGACGCUGAGUCACGAAAGCGUGGGGAGCGAACA
rnacentral:rRNA from 1 species